UGGUACUGGAUCUCGUUCGAUCACCGAAGUCAAUCAUCAUCGGGCGCGGUCAGUGCUUGGGAGGGUGACCAUCUGGGAAUACCGCCUGUCGU